rnacentral:tRNA from 1 species
CAGGGGUUAGUUUAUUAAAAUACCAAACUUGGGUUUUGGAGAUGCUUCAUGUAUAGUUGAGUACCCCUGC